rnacentral:rRNA from 1 species
CCUACGGUAGGCAGCAGUGAGGAAUAUUGGUCAAUGGACGAGAGUCUGACCCAGCCAAGUAGCGUGAAGGAUGACUGCCCUAUGGGUUGUAAACUUCUUUUAUAAAGGAAUACAACGAGGCACGUGUGCCUUUUUGCAUGUACUUUAUGAAUAAGGAUCGGCUAACUCCGUGCCAGAAGCCGCGGUAAUACGGAGGAUCCGAGCGUUAUCCGGAUUUAUUGGGUUUAAAGGGAGCGUAGAUGGGUUGUUAAGUCAGUUGUGAAAGUUUGCGGCUUAACCGUAAAAUUGCAAUUGAUACUGGCAGUCUUGAGUACAGUUGAGGUAAGCGGAAUUCGUGGUGUAGCGGUGAAAUGCUUAGAUAUCACGAAGAACCCCGAUUGCGAAGGCAGCUGACUAAACUGUGACUGACAUUGAUGCUCGAAAGUGUGGGUAUCAAACAGGAUUAGAUACCCCUGUAGUC